GCAGUAGCAUUGAAAUGUUUUUUUUUUGCUCGCGGCUUUAAGAGUGCAGCUGGCUAGUACAAGUGUGAGAUACAUGUGCAGAGUAGCAUGAUUUGAGGCACAGAAUAGAAGUAUGAAGAUCUUUUGUAUUAUAAUGAGUAGGUGUUUUUGGUUCAAAAUCUAAGAGGGGGAGGGUUCUGUUAGACUAAGUACAUCAAGCAUCUGUGUAGUUCAUGUUGUAAUCCUAUGGCAAGUUGAAAUGGCAAAGGCUAUCUCAACAUGGCAUGCAAGGUCGUAGUUUUGUAACAUUGUUUUGGUGGUUAGAGUGAAGAGGGGAUGCUUGAAAUUUGUAAAGUGGGAAGGCAAGCUGGGCUGUUGUUUUGUAUCAAACAAG
rnacentral:misc_RNA from 1 species